rnacentral:rRNA from 1 species
CAGUCGCCGCGGUAAUACGUAGGUGGCAAGCGUUGUCCGGAAUUAUUGGGCGUAAAGGGCUCGCAGACGGUUUCUUAAGUCUGAUGUGAAAGCCCCCGGCUCAACCGGGGAGGGUCAUUGGAAACUGGGAAACUUGAGUGCAGAAGAGGAGAGUGGAAUUCCACGUGUAGCGGUGAAAUGCGUAGAGAUGUGGAGGAACACCAGUGGCGAAGGCGACUCUCUGGUCUGUAACUAACGCUGAGGAGCGAAAGCGUGGGGAGCGAACAGGAUUAGAUACCCGUGUAGUCCCUGUCUCUUAUAC